GCAGGCUUACACAUGCAAGUCGAGCGGUAGCACAGAGGAGCUUGCUCCCUGGGUGACGAGCGGCGGACGGGUGGGUAAUGUCUGGGAAACUGCCUGAUGGAGGGGGAUAACUACUGGAAACGGUAGCUAAUAUCGCAUAACGUCGCAAGACCAAAGAGGGGGACCUUCGGGCCUCUUGCCAUCAGAUGUGCCCAGAUGGGACUAGCUAGUAGGUGGGGUAAUGGCUCACCUAGGCGACGAUCCCUAGCUGGUCUGAGAGGAUGACCAGCCACACUGGAACUGGGACACGGUCCAGACUCCUACGGGAGGCAGCAGUGGGGAAUAUUGCACAAUAGGCGCAAGCCUGAUGCAGCCAUGCCGCGUGUGUGAAGAAGGCCUUCGGGUCGUAAAGCACUUUCAGCGAGGAGGAAGGUGGUGAGCUUAAUACGCUCAUCAAUUGACGUUACUCGCAGAAGAAGCACCGGCUAACUUCGUGCCAGCAGCCGCGGUAAUACGGAGGGUGCAGGCGUUAAUCGGAAUUACUGGGCGUAAAGCGCACGCAGGCGGUUUGUUAAGUCAGAUGUGAAAUCCCCAGGCUCAACCUGGGAACUGCAUUUGAAACUGGCAAGCUAGAGUCUCGUAGAGGGGGGUAGAAUUUCAGGUGUAGCGGUGAAAUGCGUAGAGAUCUGGAGGAAUACCGGUGGCGAAGGCGGUCCCCUGGACGAAGACUGACGCUCAGGUGCGAAAGCGUGGGGAGCAAACAGGAUUAGAUACCCUAGUAGUCCACGCUGUAAACGAUGUCGAUUUGACGGGUUGUGCCC
rnacentral:rRNA from 1 species